GACGAACGCUGGCGGCGUGCUUAACACAUGCAAGUCGAGCGGCGCUGCGCACGGGUGAGUAACGCGUGAGUAACUGCCCCCCUCUCUGGGAUAACAGUUGGAAACGGCUGCUAAUACCUGAUAGUGGGGGAUGACUCGCGUCCUAUCAGCUUGUUGGUGGGGUAGUGGCCUACCAAGGCGACGACGGGUAGCCGGCAUGGGAGGGCGACCGGCCACAUUGGGCUGAGAUACGGGCCAAACUCCGACGGGAGGCAGGAGUGGGGAAUAUUGCACAAUGGGGGAAAAUAUGAGGCAGCAACGCCGCGUGCGGGAUGUCGGCCAUCGGGUUGUAAACCGCUUUCAGCAAUGAAGCGGUGGUGGCAGAAGAAGCACCGGCUAACUACGUGCCAGCAGCCGCGGUAAUAC
rnacentral:rRNA from 1 species